UACGAUUGCCUUCGGGUGAUAGUGGCGCACGGGUGCGUAACGCGUGGGAAUCUGCCCUUAGGUUCGGAAUAACAGCUGGAAACGGCUGCUAAUACCGGAUGAUAUCGCGAGAUCAAAGAUUUAUCGCCUGAGGAUGAGCCCGCGUUGGAUUAGGUAGUUGGUGGGGUAAAGGCCUACCAAGCCGACGAUCCAUAGCUGGUCUGAGAGGAUGAUCAGCCACACUGGGACUGAGACACGGCCCAGACUCCUACGGGAGGCAGCAGUGGGGAAUAUUGGACAAUGGGCGCAAGCCUGAUCCAGCAAUGCCGCGUGAGUGAUGAAGGCCCUAGGGUUGUAAAGCUCUUUUACCCGGGAAGAUAAUGACUGUACCGGGAGAAUAAGCCCCGGCUAACUCCGUGCCAGCAGCCGCGGUAAUACGGAGGGGGCUAGCGUUGUUCGGAAUUACUGGGCGUAAAGCGCACGUAGGCGGCUUUGUAAGUCAGAGGUGAAAGCCUGGAGCUCAACUCCAGAACUGCCUUUGAGACUGCAUCGCUUGAAUCCAGGAGAGGUCAGUGGAAUUCCGAGUGUAGAGGUGAAAUUCGUAGAUAUUCGGAAGAACACCAGUGGC
rnacentral:rRNA from 1 species